UCCCCUUUUUUCCCUGUGGCUUACAGCAGCGACGCGCCUACUUUUAACGCUCUCACCUGGGGCGUUUUGGCAUUGUCGAACAAUUAUGGCGGCCAUUGCCUGUUUUGCUGUGUUCCGCAUUCAAUGAUUGCCACUCGUUCGCAAUUCGUUAGAAGGACGCGCGUCAUUCAUGGAUAGCUAGACUUCGACCGCGUCUAUUCCGACAACACAAAACCUUCUGCUCAUAGACGAAAUCCGGUAAGAUUCGUCUGUGUUUAACAGGAUUCGCUGGAACCCAAUAACAAGAUCGCCAUCUUGCGUGCCUCGUACACAUGAGCAAUGCGCAGCAGGUAUAUCUAAUACGAGCACUUACCCUCCGAUUGAGUCGGGCGCAAUGAUCGCUCUCUUCAUGCUUAAGGACUACGCUGGCUGCUAAUGGGCCAUUAAAGUUACACGGUAAUACAACGAAGGACGUACUUGACCCAGUUGAACAGCCAGCAAGAAAAAAACGCAAAAAUUAUACGUCGUUCCAACUUGACAGUGUCGGCGGUCGUCUCUAGAUGGUUCACCUAAGACAUUCGUCGAAGAUAGACGGUGCCUUUAGGUCUGUGGGACCGAACACAACAAAUGAGCUGACGAUGAUCAACAUGCAUCUCCAAGCAACCAAACAUUUACUUACGUCUUUACUUAAUAAAAGUGUCUCCGGUUGGUUAUUUGAACAGAAAUAUAUUGAAAUCAUAUGUAAUUUCGCACACAGUUUAGUAGCAAGUACUGAAAUCUAUCAGGAUUUAGUAA